UGACGCUGGCGGCAGGCCUAACACAUGCAAGUCGAGCGGUAGCACAGGGAGCUUGCUCCUGGGUGACGAGCGGCGGACGGGUGAGUAAUGUCUGGGAAACUGCCUGAUGGAGGGGGAUAACUACUGGAAACGGUAGCUAAUACCGCAUAACGUCUUCGGACCAAAGAGGGGGACCUUCGGGCCUCUUGGCCAUCAGAUGUGCCCAGAUGGGAUUAGCUAGUAGGUGAGGUAAUGGCUCACCUAGGCGACGAUCCCUAGCUGGUCUGAGAGGAUGACCAGCCACACUGGAACUGAGACACGGUCCAGACUCCUACGGGAGGCAGCAGUGGGGAAUAUUGCACAAUGGGCGCAAGCCUGAUGCAGCCAUGCCGCGUGUAUGAAGAAGGCCUUCGGGUUGUAAAGUACUUUCAGCGAGGAGGAAGGCGUUAAGGUUAAUAACCUUGGCGAUUGACGUUACUCGCAGAAGAAGCACCGGCUAACUCCGUGCCAGCAGCCGCGGUAAU
rnacentral:rRNA from 1 species